rnacentral:misc_RNA from 1 species
AGCGUCAUUCCGAUGUCAAGCCAGUACAUUAACAUAUUCCAUUGCAAUUAUAUUCCAAAACGCGAGGAAAAAAACUACCAUGAAAUAUCUCUUCCAUUUUCUGAGUCCCGGUGUAUUUUUCUAUGGUAAUACAACAGCAAUCAUACAUGUCAACCAUAUUUAACACACAAAAAAAAUCAAAACGCUGCCCAUCCAGCUGCUGUGGUUUUAGUUUUACUUGAUCCAGAUCCAGUGGCAGAAGGAAGGCUUCUCUCAAUUUGAGAGAGAUUUGAAAGUGGAUCAGUGGAAUGCCUAGCAUUUUCCUUUGACCCCUUGAAAUCAAUACUGGGAGUAGUAGAAGUCUUUCGAGACGUAACUGGAUCAUUUGGAGGGGGUGGAAGAGGAGACCUGAUCUUAUUACCUCCACUAGGUGGAGGCGCAAGGGCUGGCGUUCUUUUCACAGCUCCUGUUGUUCCAGCCGCCAAUCCCACAGCCGAAAGCAUGCCUGUCCCACUAGAUGGUUUGUUCUUCACAUUUAUCCGGAUUGUUUCACCUUCCUUCAAUCGGUGAUUGACAGCAGGAUGAAUAUCAAUGUGAUUAUCAUCACCAGCUUCACCAUCUCCAACUUCCUUCUCAUGCUCUCUCUUGACAUACUUCUCAUGAUCAGAUAACGCCACAUUGAAAUCAAAU